CGCCACCACCGCGCUCGCCGCCGCCGCACGCCCGCACCGCGCCGCCGCACGCCACCACCGUGCUCGCCACACGGCAUCCUCGCCUGCUCGCCGCCGUACGCCACCACCGCACGCCGCACGCAGUACAGGCCUGCGCCGUCGCGCGUACUGCACGCAGCAUGGCGGCGGUCUCCGGCUCUGGCAAUGACGACGGCCGGUGAUCUUCUUCCCUCUUUAUUAACUUUGAUGACAAGAACAAAGAACAACCUUCCUUUUGGUCUUGUCUUCAAGACAUUCAAGAGGGUCUUCAGG
rnacentral:sRNA from 1 species